rnacentral:rRNA from 1 species
UACGGGGGGAGCAAGCGUUGUUCGGAUUUACUGGGCGUAAAGGGCGCGUAGGCGGCCAGCACAAGUCAGUUGUGAAAUCUCCGGGCUUAACUCGGAAAGGUCAACUGAUACUGUGCGGCUAGAGUGCAGAAGGGGCAACUGGAAUUCUCGGUGUAGCGGUGAAAUGCGUAGAUAUCGAGAGGAACACCUGCGGCGAAGGCGGGUUGCUGGGCUGACACUGACGCUGAUGCGCGAAGCCAGGGGAGCGAACGGG